GAUGAACGCUGGCGGCGUGCCUAAUACAUGCAAGUCGAGCGAUCGGACGAGAAGCUUGCUUUUCUGAUGUUAGCGGCGGACGGGUGAGUAACACGUGGAUAACCUACCUAUAAGACUGGGAUAACUUCGGGAAACCGGAGCUAAUACCGGAUAAUAUUUUGAACCGCAUGGUUCAAAAGUGAAAGACGGUCUUGCUGUCACUUAUAGAUGGAUCCGCGCUGCAUUAGCUAGUUGGUAAGGUAACGGCUUACCAAGGCAACGAUGCAUAGCCGACCUGAGAGGGUGAUCGGCCACACUGGAACUGAGACACGGUCCAGACUCCUACGGGAGGCAGCAGUAGGGAAUCUUCCGCAAUGGGCGAAAGCCUGACGGAGCAACGCCGCGUGAGUGAUGAAGGUCUUCGGAUCGUAAAACUCUGUUAUUAGGGAAGAACAUAUGUGUAAGUAACUGUGCACAUCUUGACGGUACCUAAUCAGAAAGCCACGGCUAACUACGUG
rnacentral:rRNA from 1 species